GACCCAGGCCGUUUUUUGCAACAAUGGGCUGACGGCGGAAAAAGCCAACAGAAACGAUCACGCAGCCCCCCAAAAAAUGAAGCGGAACAAAGAGACAAGAGAGACGCGAUGGGCGCAUAAGGCAACACCCCCCCCCAGUGAUUUUUCUUGCCCCACACCAAAAGCCGUAUAACCCCAGCUCACUUUCCAAAACAUUUUUGUCAUUUUCUCAAGCUUUCAAACCUAACGGUUGUUCCCGCCAGCUGUUUGCGGCCCCCUCCUGGCGGAACGGAAAGGCACACACGCCCCCGAGAAAACCCAACCGACCCAGAGGCCCGCAAACCAGAGCCCCCCCCCCUCUCUUUAGAUAAAAAAGCGGGGCGCGAAGAGCGGCGCCUAAGGGUUUGAAAAAGCCCUGCGCGCGACAAAAAAUGUAUGAAACCGCUGCCGAAACGCAAUGCAUAAACCCACAAGCCCAAAGGGAGAGCAGUUAGCAAAACGCCGGCGGUUAAAUUUAGGAGUUCCAGCCUGCGCAAAGGAAAGGCGCACCCACAAAAAACAAACAGGCGUCAAAAAAAAAAAACAGGCGUCCCCACCGGCCAAAGGCCAACAACCAACCCGACAAGCCACUCGUGACAAAGUCCCCGCUGACCAAACAAAAAAAGGUUAUAUUUGGCCAAAGAAAACAUGUCG
rnacentral:misc_RNA from 1 species